UAAUAAUUAAACAUAACUUUUGUAAGACAUAUGUUUGGAGUUUUUUCUGCAUAUUUAUAUUUUUUUUUUAAAACUGAAAGUCUAAAUAUCUUCUUUUCUAAUCAUUGAUUAUUUUUGGAAAAUCAUUAAACUCAAUAAUAUAGAAUUAAACAUAUAAUCUACGUAGGUAUAAAAUAAAUGGCAUCAAAUAAAAUUAAUUUUUGAAUGAUAAUAGGGAAAUUGCCUAAACUAUCACAUUUCUAAUAUCAUUUUUUCAUGUUUACCUUAACAACUUUUACCCGUACUUUAAAAUUGGUAAAAAAACACUUACAACCCUAGGGUUAACUAAUUUAGAUUUAUGGUUUAGAGUUUAGAAGUGGUAUAAAGUUUUGGAAUGUGGAAUUUAGGAUUCUCAUAAAUACAUAAAUAAAUACUUAAAAUUGUAUUUAAAAAAAAAUAGUUUCAAAAAGAAAAUUUGAAAAAACUAAUUUCGACAAAAAAUCAAAAACAAAAUUUAUAAACAAGUCCGAAUUUGAAAACAUAUAAUCCAAAAAUUAAUUUUUAUAUUUUUAUUUAUACAGUUAUUUAUUAUAUAUAUAAAGCAAGGGUAAAAGAGAUUUUUUCCUUCUUCAAUGAAGAACAUAUUUGUGAAAAUGGUUAUUUAGUAAAAGUAACAUGAAUAAUAGUAUCAACAAUAUGGUAAACAUGAAAAUUCCUCCAUUAUUAUAUAAUAUAUUAAUAAAACUGUAAAUGUAAAUACAAACCGUGGAGAAGAAUUGUGAGCAUAAUGAAACUAAUAAACCAAGGUUUGAAAGCAAUUUUCAUCUUAGAUAAUGAAAUAAUGAUGUUUUAAAAAUUAGAAUACAGAGAAAUACAUUUAUAGAUGAAUCACAAAGUGAAACAUCUCUAAUUUAAGCUAUACAUCUUUUCAAAUUCCGAUACAAAAGGAUCUAGUUUGACUAAAAAUCGAUCUUACAAUAUCUGGCUAUUUAUUUACUUAAUAAAAAGGCCAAUUUAGGUGAAUAACCAAAACAGAGAAGAUAAUUAGGUGAUCAUGCAUUAUUUUUAUUUAUUUGCAAAACCAUGUAUAAAGAUAUGGUGAUUUUACGGUUCUGUCCAAAAUUGAAUAUAUGGCUACAAAGUAAUGCAUGUGGUAACGAAUAGUAAUUUUUAGACUUAGAUGUUACUCAUCAAAUAUGUGGUUCUUGAUGGCCUUGUCUUCAUUCUUAUUUAAAUACGUGCGUUUUCUAUAUUUUUUUAAUUUUGACUUCCACUUGUUGCAGGGAAAGGGAAAGGGCAAGGUUAGUCGGUCAACUUUUUUGGUCCCGGCGUUGAUUGGGUUGCAAAACACCUCCCAAAAAAAAUCUUAAGCCGGCAAAAGAAGAGACAUAGACUCAUCAGUGAACAAUGGCGUCUAGAAGCAGUAUGCAUUAAUUUUUUGUGUAAAUAGUGGGAUCUGAUUAACAGAUCUGAAUUUGAGAUUUAAAAAUUAGAAAAUCAAGAUCUAUGAAAAUCGUUAUACGAACCUAAAUCAUACACACACGAAAAAAGAGAGAUGAAGAUGAAAAUGAAAAACUAGUUUCAUAUCGUUAAAAAAGUUGGAAAACAAUAUUGCAGGAAGAAAGAGUAUAAGGAAGAAGGUGCUUUUGUAGAAACUAAAACCACUAAAAGAUAGAAAAAGAAACAGUAAAAGAAAUACGGAAAAGAGAUUUGUAUAUAGACAUAUAUAUCAGGAUUAUGGAUUAAUAUAGGGGUAGAUAUGGAAUUAAAAUUGUCAAAUAGUAUCAUGAUCAUUUACCUAAUUUAAGUAUCUUUUAUGGUCAUCCAGCGCAAAAACCCUAAUAAAAAUUAACUCAAUUAUACUUAACUUUAUUUAAAAUAUUUUUGAUAUGCAUAAACAAUCCAAUUCGAUUAAAUCACAUAAUCAGAAUUUAUAUAAUGUAUAUUUAGAAAAUAAACAUAAAGAUAAAUGAAAAAUGACAAUCUAACAAUAUUAAAAAUUGGAUAUACUCAACUCUUAGCCUAUCCACAUCAGCUCAAAUAAUUAACCUAUCACAAAGCUUUAAAUUGCCACAUCAUCUUAAAGAACUAUCAUCAAAUCUGACGAGAGAAAAAAAAACAAAGAAAUUAUAACCUAAUUGUGACUCUUCUUCUGCUCAUACAUACGUAACGCUUUGCUUCUGACGACCAUCUCUCAGCCAGACCCUUCAUUUAUAAUAUCUUUUCAUCUCCCACACCUUCCCAUUCUCUUAAAUGUAACACGUAUAAAGUAGCCUAAUUGUAGACUGAUUCAAUUCCAUUAUCUAUUUAUCUACACCUCUGUCUUAUAAACAUGAGUUUUCAACUCGAAAAGCUAAGAGGACACUGGAGAAAUACUGCGGAUGAUUGGUAUGAUAUAGUGAUCACUCAUCUACUUAUUAAUUACUGUAGUUUUUGGAUCUGCGUGUAAAACAUAUUCUUUCUCCAGUAUGAGAAUCAUCGAGUCAGAGGUAACCAAACCAGAAGCUGAGCCAAACGCGCAAGUAUUUUUUAGUAAGGAGUGCAUGAGGUAAGCCACAAACACAAGAUCAAAAUGAUAAGAUAUUUGAAUGAGUUAAAUUCAGCGCUAUAUUUUUUGAGGAGUUUACUGAAUUUUUUUGAUUUGUCAAUUGUUUUACAGUCCAAAGGAUCCCAUCCCAUGUCAACUCUUUUAUUAGUGAUGCCACAACAAUCUCCUCUUUCUUACAAGAGCGUGAUCGAUACCUUCUCGGCUUCUCCAUUUUAUUUAGCCGUAUACGAUUGGGAAUCCAAGUCUUAGUUGAUCAUAUUACAGAUUUAUUUAGGCCAUAAGACUCAUUUACCUCCUUUUUACAUCGCUUCCUUUUCUUUCUUAUUCUGUUGCAGUACAGAAACCCACGAUCUCCACAUUUUUUUAAGGGUUUGGAAUAGCUGAUGAAAAUCCAUUCGUAUAGAGACGCAAUUUGUGUUCUAUUCUACAAAAUCAGAUUCUCUUGAAUGACAAAGUAUGAUUUGGUUUCCGAAUGAGGGAUCACGACCAAACUCCCAGGAAGCUAGGGAUUUUGAAGUGUCCUCUAAAUUAGUUGAAAGCUAUCAGCUUUGCUCUGCAAAACUAUGGCGUCUACUGAAGGUCUCACAAGAAGAUGACGUUUUACAGCAGCAAUCUAAAUCACUUUCAUUUAUUUCCGAAGAUAUUCGUAUGAGAAGUUUCUUUCUGGUAGUUCUCUAAUAUUAAUGCGUCGGUUGUAAUCUGAUCAAUGACUCAUUGAAGACAUUAAGUAACAGUAACCAGUUGUUCUGUUUGAUAGUCAGAGUUAUUGGUCAUAAUAGAUACAUUUACAUC